UGGGAAUGGGCAGAAGUUGGUGUUUGUCCAGAUAUUUCUUGAGUACCUAAUGACGUGUAAGACAUUAUGCUGCGCAUGAGGACAUAUAAAAAGAGGCAUUGUGGUCUGCUGGACUGGAGCAGGAGCAGGAACUUCUACAAACCACCUGGCCUUCCAGACGUUGAAGUUUCAUCAGCGUCAUUGGCAUUCUCUCCAGCACUUCUGAGGGAUCAGUGCUGUGAGCUGGUAGGAAGGAGCUGGGCUCCAGCACACCACUGACUGGGUCAGCACAGAUGUGGGCUUGAAUCCUCUUCUUACAAGAAGUAGUCGUGUGACUGGGGCAGGUCACAACAUCUGCAGAUUGGGAGUAAUUGUGUAUCUACUGUGUAUCUCCUCCACAGCAAUGUUACAAAAAUAAAAGAUCUGUGCAAAUUUUAAAUCACCAUGUAGA